rnacentral:rRNA from 1 species
AUUGAACGCUGGCGGCAUGCCUUACACAUGCAAGUCGAACGGUAACGCGGGGCAACCUGGCGACGAGUGGCGAACGGGUGAGUAAUGUAUCGGAACGUGCCCAGUUGUGGGGGAUAACUGCUCGAAAGAGCAGCUAAUACCGCAUACGACCUGAGGGUGAAAGCGGGGGAUCGCAAGACCUCGCGCAAUUGGAGCGGCCGAUAUCAGAUUAGGUAGUUGGUGGGGUAAAGGCCUACCAAGCCUACGAUCUGUAGCUGGUCUGAGAGGACGACCAGCCACACUGGGACUGAGACACGGCCCAGACUCCUACGGGAGGCAGCAGUGGGGAAUUUUGGACAAUGGGGGCAACCCUGAUCCAGCCAUGCCGCGUGCGGGAAGAAGGCCUUCGGGUUGUAAACCGCUUUUGUCAGGGAAGAAAUCCUUUGAACUAAUACUUCGGAGGGAUGACGGUACCUGAAGAAUAAGCACCGGCUAACUACGUGCCAGCCGCCGCAGUAA